GGAGGCGGAGCUUCUCACGAGGGAGAAGCUCAGGUUGAGGACCUGCUGUUCAGAGGCAUCAACUUUGGGACAGAGCAGUUUGUGGAGGACGGGGUAGCAGACACACUCGAUGCCGAUUCUGUCCCUGGUGUGGGGACAGAAGGGCUCGGGCAGCGACCCAACCCCAACUCACAACAGAAGCCAGCGCCCGGCAUCCCAAAGCGAGGGCGCUGUACAACAGCCAUUCUCGGAGGCGCGAGGACCGGCCCAGACGCACCAAAGAGGAGCCCCCCCGACGGGACAGGGUUGGUCCCGAGUUGGAACAGCAUCCUCUAUCAGCAAUGACUAGUACUCGCUGGGGCUGGGGCUCAGUCUACGCAUCAGGAUCGAUUAGAUACAAAUAUUCCUUGACAAAGCAUCUCAAAAAGGUUUCCUCAUGGAAAGACCAUGGAAACAAAGAGUAAUGAUUUUUUUUAA